GACGAACGCUGKCGGCGUGCUUAACACAUGCAAGUCGAGCGGUAAGGCCCUUCGGGGUACACGAGCGGCGAACGGGUGAGUAACACGUGGGUGAUCUGCCCUGCACUUCGGGAUAAGCCUGGGAAACUGGGUCUAAUACCGGAUAUGACCAAAGGCUGCAUGGCUUUUGGUGGAAAGGUUUACUGGUGCAGGAUGGGCCCGCGGCCUAUCAGCUUGUUGGUGGGGUAAUGGCCUACCAAGGCGACGACGGGUAGCCGACCUGAGAGGGUGACCGGCCACACUGGGACUGAGACACGGCCCAGACUCCUACGGGAGGCAGCAGUGGGGAAUAUUGCACAAUGGGCGAAAGCCUGAUGCAGCGACGCCGCGUGAGGGAUGAAGGCCUUCGGGUUGUAAACCUCUUUCAGCAGGGACGAAGCGAAAGUGACGGUACCUGCAGAAGAAGCACCGGCU
rnacentral:rRNA from 1 species